GAGGUUCUCAGUGUUAUUGCUGGGAUUAAAAUGGGAACACGGUACAUAUUUUAAGCCGUGGCUGCCCCCGCAACUGUAGGCGGAGAGCUACUUUCAACAAGUACCACUGAACUUAAAUAGUUUGGGAAGGUCAGAGAGAUAGUAUAGACCCGCGAGCCAGGAUACCUGCCUUAUCAUU
rnacentral:ncRNA from 1 species